UGGGGAAUAUUGCACAAUGGGCGCAAGCCUGAUGCAGCCAUGCCGCGUGUGUGAAGAAGGCCUUCGGGUUGUAAAGCACUUUCAGCGGGGAGGAAGGCGUUAAGGUUAAUAACCUUGGCGAUUGACGUUACCCGCAGAAGAAGCACCGGCUAACUCCGUGCCAGCAGCCGCGGUAAUACGGAGGGUGCAAGCGUUAAUCGGAAUUACUGGGCGUAAAGCGCACGCAGGCGGUCUGUCAAGUCGGAUGUGCAAUCCCCGGGCUCAACCUGGGAACUGCAUCUGAUACUGGCAAGCUUGAGUCUCGUAGAGGGGGGUAGAAUUCCAGGUGUAGCGGUGAAAUGCGUAGAGAUCUGGAGGAAUACCGGUGGCGAAGGCGGCCCCCUGGACGAAGACUGACGCUCAGGUGCGAAAGCGUGGGGAGCAAACAGG
rnacentral:rRNA from 1 species